GUACUAACAUAUUCAAGAUGGCUUCUUACUAAUGUGUUGUAUAGACAAAUUUUUGUGCUUAUAGAAAACCCCUUGCUGUUGCGCUUUACAAAUCCUAGAGCUUGCGACGCCUUUUUGACGACAUUGUCGACGUGAGUGUUAAAACUGAGAUAUGAAGCAAACCAGGUGAGAAGUGUACCAAAUAUACCACACGCCUCUAAUUUAGACAACAGCAAGACGUGAUCUACCUUAUCAAACGCUGAGGAAAAGUCGGUAUAAAUAGCAUCGACCUGUGAGCCUGAAUCAACUACACUAGCGAUGUGUGAAGUAUAAGCGAGGAGAUUGGUCUCAGUUGAUCGGUUUUUCCUAAAACCAUGUUGGAAGUCAUUAAGAAUGGGUUCGAUGUGAAGUGAAAACGUUUGAUAAAUUAUGCAUUCAAAGAGCUUGGAGAAACACGGGAAUCGGUCGCUGCGCGAGAUUAGUACUAGGGACGUACACAGAGGAAAAAUGAGAUGCGAAUAAAUUAGCGAUUUCGGGACCAGAGUUAGCGCAUUUUUGACCGAGAAACAUUUGAGCAGGUAUAUUCGAUUUACCCUUCCUUUUGGCCUUAACAUAGCUCCAGAAGGCCUUUGGAUUGUUUUGUAUGUUAAG